rnacentral:rRNA from 1 species
CGCGUAGGUGGUUUGUUAAGUUGGAUGUGAAAUCCCCGGGCUCAACCUGGGAACUGCAUUCAAAACUGACUGACUAGAGUAUGGUAGAGGGUGGUGGAAUUUCCUGUGUAGCGGUGAAAUGCGUAGAUAUAGGAAGGAACACCAGUGGCGAAGGCGACCACCUGGACUGAUACUGACACUGAGGUGCGAGAGCGUGGGGAGCAAACA